rnacentral:tRNA from 1 species
GGGGAUUUAGCUCAGUGGUAGAGCGCUUGCCUAGCAAAUGCAAGGCCCUGGGUUCGGUCCCCAGCUCCCA